AUUAACACUGAAUUAAUAUUACCAGUGAAUUAAUAAACACCCCACUUUUAUUUUCUUCUAAAAAGGUGUAUCAAUUUAGCAACCAUAAAAAUUCAAUCUUUCUUACAGAAACCAUAAAGAUUCAAUCUUUCUUACAGAAAUUACAAUUCCCAAUUCGAUUCUCCAAGCAAAAAUUCAUUUUAAAUUAGAAUUUCCAUCUUUUCGAAAUUUCUCAAUUGUUUUAUUUCCAGUUCAGUAAAAUCUUCUCAAGUUAUUGACAACUUUUAACACUAUCGUUUAACCAUGUUCUUCUUAGAUUUAUAACUCUGUCAACACCAAAACCAUUUGCUAAUAUAAUAACUGCCAACUAUAAAUCUCAUGACCUACCUAUCUCUCCACCCACCACCACCACUACGUCGACCAUAACGUGCCGUCACAAAGAGAAGAAAGCAUAAGGUAACAGACCGUUAAUUGCGGCGGCAACAACAAAGGAUGAACGACGAGGCCAAGAAACGAGAGAAAGAUGAGUCUGAUGGGGCGGUAGAAGAAAAAUCACGGCAACUAGAUAUAUGAGGAAACGACAGUAAAGGAAGCGGAGGAGCGUAGGCGCGUGAGAGGAAGAUUGAUCAUUUGGUGAUGAACAAGAUGUCAUCUUUGGUUUUUAGCAUACGAGAGAAUGAAUACGUAGAAAAAUUAAUAAUUUAGCCAACUCAGCUAUUUUAUGUAAAGCACCCUUGAGAGAAGAGAAAAGUCAGCAAUGUGUUGGUAUUUGAGUAAAGUUUCCUCGCUUUUUCGAUUAUUCCGUAAUUUUCUCUUGAUAAUUUUAACCUAACUUUACUCUCUGCUUUUGCUUUUGCUGCCGACACUUCACUCCAAUUUUUUGUUCAUCAUCUCUGCUCUCCAUUCUUUAACCACGGAUUGCCACUAAAAACUAUUGACGAAAUUUUAUUUCUUUGAUUAAGAUGUAAAUUCAUCGGAUCAUCUUCUACUAUCUAACAUCAAGAUUAUCGAUUUUUAGAGGCAUGCUUCAAAUCAUUUUAAUCGGACCAAAAAUGGAUUAUCAAAGGCAGCAUGGAUUUGGGAUUUGUUUAUUUGUCACUAUUUUCACUUGGGCUCUUUGAUUUAAAUCGACGAGACAAACUGAAAUGGCUCAAUCUAAGAAGAAGCUGUGACAGUUAAACAGAUAACUCGAAGAUUUUGAUUUAUUGGAAGCGAGAAAAUGGGUGAUUUUACCUCGAUGAUAGAGCGGACCUCCGAUCCAAAACUGUUGGCUUAAGAUCGCAGACCCAGUUAAAACUGAGGAGGCCAGAGAUGUUAAGGGGGAUUAAUAUACAGUGUUUAUACUGCUCAGAAGAACUGUAGCAAAUAGUGCCACUAGAGGACAAAGCUGGCUAAUUUUCAGUUUGGUGCCUGAACUUCUCAUGAUGUACCAGAUUAGUCCUUGAUGUUUUUAAUUUUAUAAUUUUGCCCCUGUAAUUUAUUUUCGUACCACUUUUGUAAUUUUUCUAUUCUUUUGUGUUUUUGUUUUUUUUUUGUAUAAAAUAAAAAUGAUAAUUAAUAUUCAUUUUUUGUU